rnacentral:tRNA from 1 species
GGAUAGCUCAGAUGGUAGAGCAGAGGACUGAAAAU